UUAGGGUCGGUUCGGCGGUUUUUAUUCCCUCAUCAUAAAAAGUAGCGGACUAAGUUAGGCUGGUUUGCGAUGGGAGUUCCACGAGUGUUCUAUGUUCUGAGGCUCAGUGAACGCACCACGAGGAGACACUUCAUACAGUCUAUGGAGCCUCUGAACGUCACAUAAAACAAGCUCAGAAGUCACGUGAUUUGUUUUGGCGAAGCGUUUUCAUCAGUCUGCUUCUCGUUUGCACCAAAUAAAUAAAUGACUCUUUUUUUUCGGGUUAAAUUGCCACAUUAUGACGUCACCAUCCUAGCUUCAGAUGCAUUGGUUGUAAUCCCAGCUGAUCACGUGUUCGCUCCACCUGCCGCUGAGUGCUCAUUAAAGGUAAUUGGGUCCAGGUGAGACCGCGGCUCAGUGGUUCUGGAUGCAGUUCUGCGGUGGACUUCAGAAUUCCUUGCUGUCCAGGAAAAGUGGAGCUCCGACUAAAACAAAGAGGAAGAUCUUCAACCAGAUCAGAACUGAAACUCUGAGUGAUCUUCUGCUCUGAAACGUCAGACCUGGAUCUUCUAUCGCCGCCCUACAGAAACUAUUGCAGCUGCUGGAUCAACGAUGAAUUAACUGAUUUCUGACGUUUUAUAUCACAUUACUGACCAAUUAAAAAUAAAGUAGUUUAUGGAAAAGAAAUCCUUUUUGGUUGCGUGGUGUUUUUUUAUUUUUUAUUUUUCCCUAAAAAUGCUAAGAUUAGAUUUGUUUCCAUAUUUGCAGCUUUAACUCCAAAUGUGAUAUUUCUAAUGAUUAGAAAGCUGCAGUUUUCCCAUAUCAGACUGUUCUCCAGUCCUCAGACCAGAUCAGGAUGGACAUCAGAUGCUGAGGUUAAAGUUUGAGUUUAAGACAUCCCUGAUGUUUCUGCACCUACUUUAUAUAUAUUUAUAUUUAUUUUUAACAAUGUUUUAGGAGUUCAAAAAAAUCUUUAAAAAUUAAAAUCUUCAAUCUUCCAACGACUUGAUGGUUUGGGGACUAAAUGUUCAUGAGAUCUUUUCAUGUUUACGAUUUCUGGAUCUGCAGAAACUU